rnacentral:lncRNA from 1 species
GUGUAAUUUUUGAGGCAGUAAAGGACUCUUCUGUUUGAAAUUUAUAUACCAAAGGAUUAUCCCCAAAUUGUUAAAUUGCCAAGUUCAGAGAUAUGGAGUUAGAGAAAGAGCAGGGACACCUCAUUCUUAAUUAAUACAUCUCUGAAUAGUUGGAGCUUGCAUUCUUUCAAUAAUUUAAUAACAUUAAAAUAUUAAAGAAAAAUCCAAGACAUUAAGUUAUUUAAAAAGAGAAGGGGGGGCUUCCCUGGUGGCGCAGUGGUUGAGAAUCUGCCUGCCAAUGCAGGGGACAUGGGUUCAAACCCUGGUCUGGGGAGAUCCCACAUGCCGUGGAGCAGCUGGGCCCGUGAGCCACAAUUACUGAGCCUGCGCGUACAGUUACUGAGCUUGCGCGUCUGGAGCCUGUGCUCCGCAACAAGAGAGGCCGCGAUAGUGAGAGGCCUGCACACCACGAUGAAGAGUGGCCCCCGCUUGCCACAACUAGAGAAGGCCCUGGCACAGAAAUGAAGACCCAACACAGCCAUAAAUAAAUAAAUUUUAAAAUUCACGACAUAUGUCAAUAUUUUUUUAAAAAAGAGAGAGGGGAAGAAUAUGUGCAAACUCUUUGGCCUGGCAGUAUUACUUCUAAAAAUUUAUCUUAGGAAAAUUAUCACGUCGACAAAGAUUAACUGCAUGAGUGUUCACUGCAGCAUUGCUGACCAUACUAAAAAUCUGGGAGCACUUGAAGCAUUCGAUAUGCGGGACUAGUUAAUUAAGCCAUAGUAUAUUCAUGCAGUGAAUUAUAUCGCCAUUAAAAACAGUGUCUUGGGGCUUCCCUGGUGGCGCAGUGGUUGAGAAUCUGCCUGCUAAUGCAGGGGACACAGGUUCGAGCCCUGGUCUGGGAGGAUCCCAUACGCCGCGGAGCAACUAGGCCCGUGAGCCACAACUACUGAGCCUGCGCAUCUGGAGCCUGUGCUCCGCAACAAGAGAGGCCGUGACAGUGAGAGGCCCGCGCACCGCGAUGAAGAGUGGCCCCCACUUGCUACAACUAGAGAAAGCCCUCGCACAGAAACGAAGACCCAACACAGCAAAAAUAAAUAAAUAAAUUACUAAAACUCCUACCCCCAGCAUCUUCUUU